GUUUCAGCAGCCGCGGUAAUACGAAGGGGGCUAGCGUUGCUCGGAAUCACUGGGCGUAAAGCGCACGUAGGCGGAUCAUUAAGUCGGGGGUGAAAUCCUGGAGCUCAACUCCAGAACUGCCUUCGAUACUGGAGAUCUUGAGUCCGGGAGAGGUGAGUGGAACUGCGAGUGUAGAGGUGAAAUUCGUAGAUAUUCGCAAGAACACCAGUGGCGAAGGCGGCUCACUGGCCCGGUACUGACGCUGAUGUGCGAAAGCGUGGGGAGCAAACAGGAUUAGAAACCCCAGUAGUCC
rnacentral:rRNA from 1 species